GCACUCCUGAGCCUCCACCAUUGCUGUGAAAACAUGCCUGGGAGAGCCUGCUGGAAGACAGUACCCAGAGCAGCGCCCCAGUCUCUCCAGUUGACUAGCCAGGACCAGCCUAGAUCUUCUGACAACUGGAUGACCUUCAGAUAUCAUAAGAAAACAGCCGAAGAUUAGAUUUUGAUAAUGAGAGAGCCCAACGAUCCUGGACCCCUGGCCGGGAGGACAAUAGGGGAAACAGGUGAAACACUGUGUGAGCUGGACCACCCAGGCUCUCCAACACCAGGACACCAGAGCAUCCUUCCUCCUUCUUCUCUUCUGCUGCGACUUCCUGGAGGCAUAGCAGAGUUACAACUGCUGGCCAUGUGGAACUUCUCUUCUCCUAUAAGUUUGCUCUGAGAUGGAGAGAUUGUGCCUGUGGUUCAUUAGGAAGAGCUCUUGGGAUCAAUGCCUGUAAUAAGGAAGGGAAGGAAUCAGGAUUGGCCAGAAGGAGAAGUUGAGCUGUGUUGAAGCCUCAAUGGAGACCUCAGCCAAUUCUGAGUCAUGUCCUGAAGCUAGAAUAUGUCCUCUAAAUUAUCCCAAGCUGAGAUGAGGGAGCUGGGCAUUUAGCCCUGUAUUAGGCCAUUCUUGCACUGCUAUAAAGAAAUAACUAUGGCCUGGCGCCGUGGCUCACGUCCUUAAUCCUAGCACUUUGGGAGGCCGAGGCGAGCAGAUCACGAGGUCAGAGUUUGACACCAGCCUGGCCAAUAUGGUGAAACCCCAAUUCUACUAAAAAUACGAAAAUUAGCCAGGCGUGGUGGCACAUGUCUGUAAUCUCAGCUACUCGGGAGGCUGAGGCAGGAGAAUUGCUUGAACCCAGGAAGUGGAGGUUGCAGUGAGCUGAGAUUGUGCCUCUGCACUCCAGCCUAGGGAAUAAAGCGAAAGUCUGUCAAAAAAAAAAAAAAAAAGGAAAGAAGGAAAUAACUGAGACUGGUAAUUUAUAAAGAAGAGGUUUAAUUGGCUCACAGUUCCUCAUGCUAUACAAAAAGCAUGAUGCUGGCAUCUGCUCAGCUUCUUGGGAGGCCUCAGGAAAUGUACAAUCAUGGCAGAAGGUGACGCGGGAGCAGGCAGUUCACAGGGCCGGUGCAGGAGGAGAGAGAGAGGCAGGAGAUGCUACACGCCUUUAAACAACCAGAUCUCCUGAUAACUCACUCUCGUCACAACACCACCAAGGGAGAUGGUGUUAAACCAUGAGAAACCACCUCCACGAUCCAAUCACCUCCCACCAGGCCUCACCUCCAACACUGGGGAUUUAUAAUUCCACGUGAGAUUUGGGUAGAGGACACAGAUCCAAAAUAUAUCAUACCCCCACGUUGAUCAGUCAUUAGAUGUGGGCCACCCUAGUUGAGGCAGCUCCCCUCGCUCAGGUGGUUCCUGAAGCGAGCUGACAGCUGACGGCUGCAUGCCAGAGGUACUGUCAGCAGCUGAAGGAGAGUCUUUUGUGCUAAAAGCCAUCUUAAGCAGCACAGCACAGCGUCCACCACAUAUUGUGGACAGGUGAUAUGGUUUAGAUCUGUAUCCCCACCACAAUUUCAUGCUGAAUUGUAGUCCCCAAUGUUGGAGGUAAGCCCUGGUGGGAGGUGUUCGGGUCGUGGGAGCAGAUCCCUCAUGAAUGGCUUGGGCCAUCCUCUUGGUGAUGAGGGAACACUCACUCUGAGUGUUCACAAGAUCUGGUGGUUUAAACGUGUAUGGCACCUCUCCCCACCCCCACUCUUUCUUGUUCCUGCUUUUGCCAUGGGACUCGCAUGAUCCCUUUGCCUUCUGCCAGGACUAAAAGCUCCCUGGAGCCUCCUCAGAAGCUGAGCGAUGUUGGCGCCAUGCUUCUGGUACAGCCUGCAGAACCAUGAGCCAAUUCAACCUCCUUUCUUUAUAAAUUACCCAGUCUCAGGUAUUUCUUUAUGGCAAUACAAGAACACCAGGGGUUUGCAGGUAACCCGGGCCCCUGUCCUUGAGGACACAGCAGCAAGCCAUUGGUAAAGCAAAACUGUCCAUAAGGAAGGCUGCUCCCAUGCAGUGUUCAUUUGGGCAGCCCAGAAAUCGAGAAAUCCUCGGUCCAUUUCAAGUUUGGGGGAAAACUUAUUUUUAUCAUAUUUGAGAUGAAUAAUAAAAGCAAAUCCAGAA
rnacentral:lncRNA from 1 species